ensembl:miRNA microRNA 340
CACUUGUACCUGGUGUGAUUAUAAAGCAAUGAGACUGAUUGUCAUGUGUCUUUUGUGGGAUCCGUCUCAGUUACUUUAUAGCCGUACCUGGUAUCUGA